ensembl:snRNA U6 U6 spliceosomal RNA
GUGCUCCCUUCGGCAGCACAGAUACUAAAAUUGGAAUGAUACAGAGAAGAGUAGCAUGGCCCCUGCGCAAGGAUGACACCAGUUUUUAAAGAAUAAUAAAAAAGGCUG